rnacentral:rRNA from 1 species
AGUUGGGUUUAUACCCAAAUGCACCAGAUCCCAUCUGAUCUUGGAAGCUAAGCAGGGCUGGCCCAGGUUAAUAUUUGGAUGGGAGACAGCCAGUGAAUAGUAGGUGCUGUAGGUU